rnacentral:rRNA from 1 species
AUUGAACGCUGGCGGCAGGCCUAACACAUGCAAGUCGAGCGAGCGGCGGACGGGUGUGUAAUGUCUGUGAAACUGCCUGAUGGAGGGGGAUAACUACUGUAAACGGUAUCUCAUACCGCAUACCCUCCCAUGUGCCCCGAUGGGAUUAGCUCGUAGGUGGGGUAACGGCUCACCUAGGCGACGAUCCCUCGCUGGUCUGUGAGGAUGACCAGCCACACUGGAACUGAGACACGGUGCAGACUCCUACGGGAGGCAGAAGUGGGGAAGAUUGCACAAUGGGCGCAAGCCUGAUGCAGCCAUGCCGCGUGUGUGAAGAAGGCCUUCGGGUUGUAAAGCACUUUCAGCGGGGAGGCGUUACCCGCAGAAGAAGCACCGGCUAACUCCGUGCCAGCAGCCGCGGUAAUUC